AUUGAACGCUGGCGGCAGGCUUAACACAUGCAAGUCGAGCGGAGAGAGGUAGCUUGCUACUGAUCUUAGCGGCGGACGGGUGAGUAAUGCUUAGGAAUCUGCCUAUUAGUGGGGGACAACAUUUCGAAAGGAAUGCUAAUACCGCAUACGUCCUACGGGAGAAAGCAGGGGAUCUUCGGACCUUGCGCUAUUAGAUGAGCCUAAGUCGGAUUAGCUAGUUGGUGGGGUAAAGGCCUACCAAGGCGACGAUCUGUAGCGGGUCUGAGAGGAUGAUCCGCCACACUGGGACUGAGACACCGCCCAAGCUCCUACGGGAGGCAGCAGUGGGGAAUAUUGGACAAUGGGAGCAAGCCUGAUGCAACCAGUCCGCGUGUGUGAAGAAGGCCUUAUGGUUGUAAAGCACUUUAAGCGAGGAGGAGGCUACUUUAGAUAAUACCUAGAGAUAGUGGACGUUACUCGCAGAAUAAGCACCGGCUAACUCUGUGCCAGCCGCCGCGGUAAGAC
rnacentral:rRNA from 1 species